GUGCCUUAAACUAAUGAGUAAGGAAAAUAAUUGAGGUUUGGUGAUGCUUACCUCGGCUUGCCAUAUUGCAAUCAUUGCAACGGCGUAAGCUUUUGCAAUGAGCUAAGCAUAUAUUUUUGCAAGGGUAAAGGUCGUCCAAUUGAGGUACGCUCGCCUACUUUGCGAGAAAUCUCUUGUGACAGCGAUCUGCCCA